UCCGGGGUAGCUCAACGGGCAGAGCAGGCGGCUGUUAACCGUCAGGUUGGGGGUUCGAGUCCCUCCCCCGGAGCCA
rnacentral:tRNA from 3 species